CUGCAAGCUAGUGGGCUAGCAAGAGGGUGGACAGAUCUCUAGGCAGGAAGCUGGGAUUUUCUUCCUGGACUGUUCUCCAAGGUCUCCAUUCUUACAACAGAGGGGAAGAUAUUCUGGGAGGAAAUAAGUGGAUGGCUAGGAAGAAAGAUCCAUUAUGUAGUAAGAACAAAUUCUGCUUUCCUCCUUGGGAGGUUUUGAGACAUUUCUGUUAAGAUGAUUAAUUAAGACUAAAUUCAUUAACAGUGCCAGACAUCGAGGGUUCCUUCAUCCUAUGGACGUGUGUUGAGAGCUUUUGAUGUGUCUGGUGCCAGGAGGGAGUCAGACCUGCAAGGUCUCUGCUUCCCUGGAGCUGGCACAUCGAGUGGGAAGACAGAUAAUGAAGCCAGGAAACAAAUGCACGUGUGACCUGGUGCCAGGGAGAGAGGCAUGACGUGCUAGGAAGAGAGUCACACCAGGGCAUGAGGCCAGUGGGGGCAGGGACAGGCCAGGGGCUGUGGGGCUGUGUUAAACAGGCGGUCAGGGCAGGUCUCUCUGAGGAGGAGACAUGUGGGUGCAGAUCUGGUGUGGAAGAUCAGAAGAAUUUCCCACAGAGCGGGUGGUGUGGAGUAUAGUUCCCGAGGCAGGAGCAGCAUGGGGUGUUUGAAGAAUGCAAAGGGGGCCGGUGCAGCUGGAGGGUUCCAUGGAAAUGAAAUGGGUGCAGAAAUGGAGAAGCAGGCACUAUGCGUCCCCCAGGAGUUCAAUCUAGCAGUUCAUUUGCUGACACCUCAUCCCCAGUGUGAUUGCACUUGGAGGUACAGCCUUGGGAAGUGAGUACCAGAGAGCUGCCUUGCCCCUUCUACCGUGCGUGCACACAGAGAGAAGAUGGCCCUUCAUGAAGAAUCAGGCUCUCAAUAGACACUGAACCUGCCGACACCUUGACCUUGGACUUCCAGCCUCCAGAACCGCUCAGCGGCACUUUCUGCCUUUGCAUAAAAGCCAGCACAAUCCUGCCCGAGGUGGUCCACGCCCUGGUGGCUGCGCUAAGUGCUCCCCACACACCGUGUUCAGUCCUUACAGCUGACCUGAGCCCCAGGGAUUUCUCAGCCAAGCAUCAAUGAAUCUUGAAUCUCAGCUGAUGACACUCCUGGGCAAAAUGGCUAUGAAACUGGAAAGAUGUCUAUGAAACACACAGUCCCUCAAGCCAGAAAAUGCACUUGACACAUCUGUGUCCCUUGAGGAACCUGAAGUUUUGGUGAAUCCAGAAAGCCAUGGAUGGCAGAACUGACCACAGAAAAAGAAACAGAGGCUCAGAAAGGUGAAGCCAAUUGCCUGAAGCCACACAGAAUAUCAGCUGGAGUCAGGAUUCUAACACCAUCCCAUACGAGGAAACCAAGCUUCAAGGAAGCUGAGUCUCCUGUCCAAGCCCACGCAGUUGGCAAGUUGCAGAUCUGGAGUAGAGUACAAAACUCUCUCAUCUGUGUCUCCAAGACACCAUGACCCAUCAUGGCUUCCUUCUGCUGGUUCAGGCGUAGUCUCAGAAUUUUUCCUGCGCCAUUGCCCGCGCCACCCCAUCAACCCCAUCUGUUGCAGGUAGCUGAUGCUAUCUACUGCCAGCCUGGAGCCAGGCUAAGAGGAAGAGAAAGAAGAAAAUGCCUGCAGAAACAUUCUAUGUAAAGAACACUUUGGGAUCAGAAAAAGAAGCGCGCCCGUGUUUCACUUGCAGCCUCACCCUGCACUAGGUAACCCUCCUUCCUCCACUGCACAAUCACUUAGAAACUGUAACUCUUCUUGGGCCCAGGUGCACAGGUAAAUUCGGAUCUUUCCCAAGGCCCUGCAUGCUACCGUGAUUUUUAGGAACCCUAUGUCACCUCACAGAUCUGAGCAUAUAUGAGUUGGGCUCGUCACCCGGCCUUCUGGGAGUCUCAGUUUCCCUAUUUGUAAAAUGGACAUAGUAAACCCAUCUCCAUCUCACAGAGGAUAGUAAAAAGAGCCCUGGCCUUGGAGUCUGGGGGCUGGGCCACAGGUCAGGCUUCAAGACCCCCUGGGCCACGUUGGGGACUUGGGUUCCUGAGAUCCAAUCUCUGAGCAUCAGCUUCACUGUCUGUCGCAGAAGCACCAUUUCCCCACCUUGUCCACCUCACAGAACAGCCAGGUGGCUUAGAGGUGAGCUCUCAAAUGUCAACAGGCUUUGCAAACUCCAGUGGUCAGCAUUAUGUGAGUAGUUCAGUCUUUCCACAGGGAUCUCUGGGGCCUCGGGUCACAGCAGACCAGAACUUGACCUGGAGGCUGGUGUCCCCCAAACUGCUGUAUGGACCCUGCAACAGCUGGGGAGUCCUCGUCUCAACAGCCCUGCUGUCUCCCACUGAGGUCAUCUGCUGGCCCUCCUGGUGGCCCUGUGAGGAAGCCAGGAGUCACUGAUGCUGCUCUAUCGACGGCGACAGAUGGAUCACAGCUGAUAAGUGACUUGCCCAGAGUUUUGCAGCUUGGAACUCACAGAGCAGAAGCUGGGAAUCAGGUGGGGAAGCACCCAGCUCUCUGCUUCUCCUAAGCCAAGCUCUGCAGCGAGGUCCUGCUUCCCUCGGGACUCCUCUUUCAGCAUGACAUGAACUCAUUUUGAAUGUAAAGGCAAUGUCAAAGCCCUACAGCUAUUUAUACCAGAGCAUGUGUUUAUUAGCUCACUCUCCAGGGGGAAUAUUGCUGUUGUGAAUACACAACUACUCAUAACUACCGUCUUAAAAAUCUUCUCUACCCCAAAAUAUUUACUAAUGUAUUUAAGUAUUUAUUUUCUUGUAGUGAAAGGAAAUCAAGAUAAUUCUAAAAUUGUGGAAGAAAACAAAAAAAGUAUAAAGGAGAAAACAGAAGCUUCACAUAUUCUAACCAUUAUUAAUCUCAAAAUAUUUUAUUCCAGGUCCUUGUCUAUGGUCCAGGUCCUUGUCUAUGGUCCUAUAGCCUAUGCUGAGUGACACUGUGCUAUGUGUAUGCCAUUUGCACUCACCGUGGGGUCAUAAGCGUGCCAUUUCCUUUUUAUUAAAAAAAUACUUUGCAUACAUGAAAGUAUGUUUGCAUUAAAACUAUGCAAACAUCAGUUUUAAUAACUGUAUAAAUAUUCCAUCACAAGGACAUUCCAUAAUUUAUUUAAUCACUUUGGUAGUGUUGGACAUUUAAUUUUUUAAAAAGUCAAAUAAUGCCAGGAUUAAUGCCUGUUUAUAUGAACCAGUUUUCAUUUCCUGAUUAUUUUCUUCGGCCAGAUCCCCAAAAGUGGAAUUACUGAUAAAAGUAGGUGAGUGUUUUUAACACAUUUCUUCUUAUACACACACACACACACACACACACACACACACACCCAUCAACAAAUAGUUUUUCCUGGAAGGAACUUCCAGUAGUGUAUGAGAAAGCCUAUUGCACCACACCAUCCCCAGCAAUGAGAAUUACUACUGUAAAAAAAUCUUUGUUACAUUAAAUUUUUGGAGGACAUCUCAUUUUCUUGAUUGCAUUUGAUUAACUCAAAAUGUAUUUCUACAGGGUGGGGAACAUCACACACUGGGGCCUGUCGUGGGGUGGGGGGAUGGGGGAGGGAUAGCAUUAGGAGAAAUACCUAAUGUAAAUGACGAGUUAAUGGGUGCAGCAAAC
rnacentral:lncRNA from 1 species